rnacentral:lncRNA from 1 species
CUGGGAUCAGUGGAGCCCAUGUAGUGCAUCUGGCUCACUCAUGUGUUUGCAGCCAAUGACUUAACUUAACCAUAUGACUGUCAGCAGAGGCAGAAGCACUGACAAAGUCCCAUGCGGUGCAUCUUCAUACAGACUAAAUUGGGCUCCAUCACCUUCUCAUGGUCUCAGAAUUUCCCAAAGCAGCAAGAAAGGGCGAGUUCUAGUAAGUGUCUAUGAAAAGAUAGAAUCAACUUUCAAGUAAAUGAAGCAUAUAGAGCCCCAAGUAGCCAUGUCCAGGAAAGAACUUCUCCAUGAGACAUCACAGUUAAAAUUUCAGAAUUUCAGCACAAGUGUGAAAUACUAAAUAUUAUCAGAGAAAAACAUCAAGUAACUUAUAAGGGUAAGUAUUAUAAUAACAGCAGAUAACACAAAUGGAGAAUUUGGCUUGCUAUUGGGAGGUA